UAAGCUUGGGUGGAGAAAGGUCAAUUCUGAUGGUACUUUUAAUGUGGAAUAUGGAGAAAGUGGCAGGAUUCGAAAUCAUUAGGAGCGGCCAUUGAAGAAGCAAAGCGGACAUGUUGCUUUCGUAAACAAGUAUAUUCUUUCAACCCCGCCUGCAUGUCCAAAUCGGGCGAGACAUUUUAAAAGGAGGAAUGUCCCUAAGGGGGGAAAGUAUCUGUCUAGAGAACGAUGAAGUAUUUGUUCUGUUUUCUUCUGGUUAUGGAAAAGUGCAUGAACAGAAGGGAAUUCAGUCUACGAGAACAUUUCAAGGCAGUAAAAAGUAAAGAAUGUGCUCAUUUUAAUAGCAUGAAGAAGACCAGAUGUUGAAAGGAGAUUAAAGAUUUGAAACUAUGGACCAUUGAUCAACAGAAUCACAAUCUUUUUGUACCAGAAUGAAAAGAAGAUGGGAAAAGAAAAUUUGCGCGCAGAAGGACAAACGAUUCAUAGGCAUGCAUUGGAUGCAUUUAUAGCAUUGUAAACUUAAAGUCAUCCCAUGAUUUCAUCUGUUGUCUUUAACCUUUAGCCUUUUUCCCUUUUUAAUAUUCCCAUUCUUGCUGUUUUUCUUGGCACAGGAAGACCAGCUGUCAAAGAAAGGAGAUGAAAGAUUUGAAACCAUGGACCAUUGGUCAACAGAAUCACAAUUUUUUUAAACCAGAAUGCAAAGAAAAGAGGAAAAGAAAAUCUGCACGCAGAAGGAAAAACGAUUCAUAGGCAUACAGUUGAUGCAUUUAUUGCAUGGCUUCGACGGAUCGUUUGCAUUCACUUGACUGCCCAUUUAAGUGACGUAAAAAGGCAGUUACUUCCGUUGCCUUUACGUUUAAGAUUUACCUGAUGAUGUGCUUGCAUUACUUGCCUUUUAUUAAGAUAUUAAGCGGGAGCUGCCGGACUCUUCUCUUUCUUUGUUGAGGGAUGUUUUCUGGCUAUUUAGCUAAAACAGGGUUGGCUAAAAAAAUUGUGCUAUAAUAAUUCCUAUGGGAAAUAAAAAUCUACU